GGGUUGUGAGGUUAAGCGACUAAGCGUACACGGUGGAUGCCCUGGCAGUCAGAGGCGAUGAAGGACGUGCUAAUCUGCGAUAAGCGUCGGUGAGGUGAUAUGAACCGUUAUAACCGGCGAUUUCCGAAUGGGGAAACCCAGUGUGAUUCGUCACACUAUCAUUAACUGAAUCCAUAGGUUAAUGAGGCGAACCGGGGGAACUGAAACAUCUAAGUACCCCGAGGAAAAGAAAUCAACCGAGAUUCCCCCAGUAGCGGCGAGCGAACGGGGAGGAGCCCAGAGCCUGAAUCAGUGUGUGUGUUAGUGGAAGCGUCUGGAAAGGCGCGCGAUACAGGGUGACAGCCCCGUACACAAAAAUGCACAUAUUGUGAGCUCGAUGAGUAGGGCGGGACACGUGGUAUCCUGUCUGAAUAUGGGGGGACCAUCCUCCAAGGCUAAAUACUCCUGACUGACCGAUAGUGAACCAGUACCGUGAGGGAAAGGCGAAAAGAACCCCGGCGAGGGGAGUGAAAAAGAACCUGAAACCGUGUACGUACAAGCAGUGGGAGCCUCUUAAUGGGGUGACUGCGUACCUUUUGUAUAAUGGGUCAGCGACUUAUAUUCUGUAGCAAGGUUAACCGAAUAGGGGAGCCGAAGGGAAACCGAGUCUUAACUGGGCGUUAAGUUGCAGGGUAUAGACCCGAAACCCGGUGAUCUAGCCAUGGGCAGGUUGAAGGUUGGGUAACACUAACUGGAGGACCGAACCGACUAAUGUUGAAAAAUUAGCGGAUGACUUGUGGCUGGGGGUGAAAGGCCAAUCAAACCGGGAGAUAGCUGGUUCUCCCCGAAAGCUAUUUAGGUAGCGCCUCGUGAAUUCAUCUCCGGGGGUAGAGCACUGUUUCGGCAAGGGGGUCAUCCCGACUUACCAACCCGAUGCAAACUGCGAAUACCGGAGAAUGUUAUCACGGGAGACACACGGCGGGUGCUAACGUCCGUCGUGAAGAGGGAAACAACCCAGACCGCC
rnacentral:rRNA from 1 species